UACAGAGGGGGCAAGCGUUGUUCGGAAUUACUGGGCGUAAAGAGCGCGCAGGCGGUCGUUCAAGUCGCGUGUGAAAGCCCCCGGCUCAACUGGGGAGGGUCACUCGAUACUGAUCGACUUGAAGCAGGAGAGGGUAGUGGAAUUCCCGGUGUAGUGGUGAAAUGCGUAGAUAUCGGGAGGAACACCAGUGGCGAAGGCGACUACCUGGCCUGUUCUUGACGCUGAGGCGCGAAAGCUAGGGGAGCAAACGGG
rnacentral:rRNA from 1 species